CAUGGUCCCCGCGAGGGGAUAACAGGGAAUGCCGGUGCGGGGUGCAAAACCCCAAGUCCGGAGCUGCCCCCGCAACUGUUGGCGGAGACGGGUGUUCGUUUGCCCACUGGUCGAAUAGGCCGGGAAGGGGAAUGCCCGGUUCGAUCCGCGAGCCAGGAGACCUACCAUGGGCG
rnacentral:ncRNA from 1 species